CCCCCCCUGCGGCGCUCGGAGAGAGUGUUGGAGAGAGUCCUGGCUGAGGUGAUCUGACGCACCGAAGAGGUACCGUCAAUGAGGAAGCAAACCGAGAAGUGAACCGGUGUGCGCGCAGACCAGAACUCCCUCUGAACGCAAAGGUGGCAAGGAGGGAAGCAGAGAAAGAUAAGACAUAGAUCCGUCCCUGUUCUGUCAAGGAAGGCAGCCCUUCCUCCUCUCGCACCGCAAAGAUGGGGAACCGGGGAAUGGAGGAUUUGAUUCCUCUGGUGAACCGCAUGCAGGAUGCUUUCGCGGCCAUCGGACAAAAUGCGAACCUGGACCUGCCUCAGAUCGCCGUGGUGGGCGGACAGAGCGCCGGGAAGAGCUCGGUGCUGGAGAACUUCGUCGGGAAGGAUUUCCUUCCCCGUGGCUCUGGCAUUGUGACCCGCCGUCCUCUGGUCCUGCAGCUGAUGAACGCUCCCACAGAGUACGCUGAGUUCCUCCACUGUAAGGGUAAAAAGUUCACAGAUUUUGAUGAGGUCCGGCAGGAGAUCGAGGCAGAGACUGAUCGCGUGACCGGAGCCAAUAAGGGAAUCUCCCCCGUGCCCAUCAACCUGCGUGUUUACUCUCCUCACGUGCUGAACCUGACGCUGGUGGACCUGCCAGGGAUGACCAAGGUGCCGGUGGGUGACCAGCCUGCAGACAUUGAGUCUCAGAUCAGAGACAUGCUAAUGCAGUUUGUCACCAAGGAGAAUUGCCUGAUGCUGGCCGUCUCCCCAGCUAACUCUGACCUGGCCAACUCUGACGCUUUAAAGAUUGCCAAAGAGGUCGACCCUCAGGGCUUAAGGACUAUUGGUGUGAUCACCAAGCUGGACCUGAUGGAUGAGGGGACCGAUGCUAAAGAUAUUCUGGAGAACAAGCUGCUUCCACUCAGGAGGGGUUACAUCGGUGUGGUGAAUAGAAGCCAGAAGGACAUAGACGGAAAGAAGGACAUUAAUGCCGCUAUGGCUGCUGAGAGGAAGUUCUUUCUCUCCCACCCUGCAUAUAGACACCUGGCUGACCGAAUGGGAACUCCCUACCUCCAGAAAAUCCUCAAUCAGCAACUGACCAACCACAUCCGGGACACCCUGCCAAAUCUGCGGGCCAAGCUGCAGAGUCAGCUUCUGUCCAUCGAAAAGGAGGUGGAGGAAUACAAGAACUUCAGACCUGACGAUCCGUCUCGCAAAACCAAGGCUCUCCUCCAGAUGGUGCAGCAGUUCUCGGUGGACUUUGAAAAAUGUAUAGAGGGUUCUGGGGACCAGAUCGACACAGCCGAGCUUUCAGGCGGUGCCAGGAUCAAUCGCAUCUUUCAUGAACGCUUCCCUUUCGAACUGGUCAAGAUGGAGUUUGAUGAGAAAGAACUCCGCAAGGAAAUCAGCUACGCUAUCAAGAACAUUCACGGCAUCAGAACUGGCCUCUUCACGCCGGACAUGGCCUUUGAGACCAUUGUGAAAAGGCAGAUUGGGAAGAUUAAAGAGCCUUGCACCAAAUGUGUGGACAUGGUCAUUUCUGAGCUAGUCAUUACGGUUAGGCAGUGUACCAAGAAGCUGGCUCAGUACCCCAUGCUGAGGGAGGAGAUGGAGAGAAUUGUCACUCAGCACAUCAGAGACAGAGAAAGUCGUACUAAAGGACAGGUGUUGCUGUUGAUAGACAUUGAGCUGUCCUAUAUGAACACUAACCAUGAGGACUUCAUUGGAUUUGCCAAUGCCCAGCAGAGGAUCAACCAAAUGAACAAGAAGAAAACAGCCGGGAAUCAGGAUGAAAUCAUGCCGGAGAGAGGAGUUAACGAUCGGUUCAAGGUGAUCAGAAAGGGCUGGCUGACCAUUAAUAACAUCGGCAUCAUGAAAGGAGGGGCCAAGGAGUACUGGUUUGUCCUCACCGCCGAGUCUCUGUCCUGGUACAAGGAUGAUGAGGAGAAGGAGAAGAAGUACAUGCUGCAGGUAGACAACCUGAAGCUGCGUGAUGUGGAGAAAGGCUUCAUGUCCAGCAAGCAUAUUUUUGCCCUCUUCAACACUGAACAGAGAAAUGUGUAUAAGGACUACCGCCAGCUGGAAUUGGCUUGUGAGAGUCAGGAAGAUGUUGAUGCAUGGAAAGCCUCCUUCCUCAGAGCCGGAGUUUAUCCUGAACGCGUCACGGAGAAGGAAGGAAAGAGUGAUGGUGGUGAUGAAAAUGGUUCUGACAACCUCAUGCACAGCAUGGACCCUCAGCUGGAGCGGCAGGUGGAAACCAUCCGCAACCUGGUCGACUCCUACAUGGCAAUCGUCAACAAGACCGUCCGUGACUUGAUGCCGAAGACUAUCAUGCAUCUCAUGAUCAACAACACUAAAGAGUUCAUUAACGCUGAGCUGCUGGCCCAGCUGUACUCAUGUGGUGACCAGAACAGUCUGAUGGAGGAGUCUCAAGAGCAGGCCCAGCAUCGUGACGAGAUGCUGCGGAUGUACCACGCCCUGCGGGAGGCCCUCAAAAUAAUCGGCGACAUCAGCACAUCUACUGUAACCACCGCCGCACCGCCACCUGUGGACGAUUCGUGGCUGCAGGUGCAGCGUGGCGGUUCUGGUGGACGGUCUCCAGCUACCAGCCCAACUCCAAACCGCAGGGCUCCACCAGGACCCCCAGCCCGCCCAGGCUCUCGUGGACCUCCACCUGGGCCUCCUCCUGCUGGGGGUCCCCCUGUCCCUUCUCGCCCUGGAGCUUCUCCUGACCCUUACAGUGGGCCACCACCCACUGUGCCCUCCCGGCCUAACCGUGCACCCCCAAGUGUGCCUAGGGGGAUGUGAAGACACCUGGAUGAGGGGAUAAAGGAGAAUCACUAUAACUGACCAAUGAGGACUAACAUUACGGCCGGCCAAACAAGGGCGGCCCCUCCCGCCCUGAGAGCCCUCUGCCGCCAUUCGACUCUUAGAAGGAAACAUUCUCCCGGUUACCUCUUCCCCUUCUUAAGCUCAUCUCGCAUAUGUCCAUCAACUCUAAAACAGACGGCAACAUCCAUCCACCCACCCACCCAUCACUCACUCACUCACAUGAGGGGAGGAAGGCUUGAAUGAACUACAGAAGUAAAGGAUUGCCGAUAAACUCUUCACCCUCAGAUAGACGCUGCUGCUCUUUGUCCAUUCUUUUUCUCCUCCUCCUCCUCUUUCAGCCUUGCAGGACAGGAGGAACUGCCCGUUGUAGCCUCAGGAAGGCCUCAGUGUCACUGUUAAAUCCACGUGCAUUUUUAAACUGCUGUUGUCUGUGCUUCCACAGAACCUAUGCAACAAAGAAAAAGGUUUCUCAGUCCCUUUUGACUUAAAAACAAAAAGAUGUUUUUCUUCCUCUCUGCUUCACACAAAUGUAACUACAUUAUCUUGAAGCAAAUGUGCAGCUGCAGACAACGGCGUGAAACACGAGAAUCAGACCUGAGAGGAAGGGAAUCUUUGGCCUGGGUUGAAACCCUGUGACUGUUCGCUAGAUAGCUCCUUACAUAUCCUCUUUAUUCAGAGAGAAUGAAAGCGGGAAGGGUUUUGAAUAUUUGCCAUGUGAAAACAUUCAGCUUUUUAUCCCAGUUGAUGAUCUGCCAUUUCUGCUCUUUUCUUUUCCCUCUUUCAUUGUUUUUUGUCCUUUUUCCAGUGGUCACGGGGGUGAGUGAGAACAUUAAAAACAAACACAGUCUAUGCAUAAAACUGGCAUUAAAAAAAAACAAAAAACAAAGCUCCUUCUCUUUCACCCUGUCAUAUUGCUUUUGUGAGAGCCUGUGACUUGAACCCACCACCUUUUCUACCACUGACCUCCUCUGUCAGCGUGAUGUGUUGUAUUGUAUUUUUGAACCCAGACAAAAAUAACCUACCAGCCACAAAAAAUAAUCCACUAUUGAUCCCUUGUGCAUCUGGAUACUCCAUGACUGCAAAGUAAACACAAAUAAGCAUAUUCUACUUCUUAUUUAAUGGUAAAUAGUUUGUUAUGGACAUAUCUUAAUGUGUUAUUCUGUAUAUGUGUGAUGCAUCUUACUGAACUUCCACUCUCUAGUGUAUUAAACUGCUGAAUAUUUAAAUUAUGAAUAAAUGAGUAUAUGUAUAAGGAAGUAAUGUUUUAAAACCCUAUAAAAAAAAUAUGUAAUACAGUGAUGAAUCUGGGCAUCUGCAGGUUGUUUGAUACUUUUGCUUGCAAGCAGAGUGUGUUUGUUUUUCUUGUCCUUCUGUGUGUAGAAUAGCAGCGAGGGACGAGGUGAAUGUGUGAAGUCCUGCAGUGACCGGGUCCUGCAGGACUAGUUUAAACUGAUGUGGAUGGAAAGGUGACUUUAACCUGCAGGACUGCUGUGCUCUGUCAAGACAUUAAAUACUUCGGUGUAAUGGG